rnacentral:rRNA from 1 species
UGCGUAGGCGGCUAAUUGAGUCGGAUGUGAAAUCCCCGAGCUUAACUUGGGAAUUGCAUUCGAUACUGGUUAGCUAGAGUGUGGGAGAGGAUGGUAGAAUUCCAGGUGUAGCGGUGAAAUGCGUAGAGAUCUGGAGGAAUACCGAUGGCGAAGGCAGCCAUCUGGCCUAACACUGACGCUGAGGUACGAAAGCAUGGGGAGCAAACA